rnacentral:rRNA from 1 species
UACGUAGGGCGCAAGCGUUGUCCGGAAUUAUUGGGCGUAAAGAGCUCGUAGGCGGCUUGUCACGUCGGAUGUGAAAGCCCGGGGCUUAACCCCGGGUCUGCAUUCGAUACGGGCAGGCUAGAGUGUGGUAGGGGAGAUCGGAAUUCCUGGUGUAGCGGUGAAAUGCGCAGAUAUCAGGAGGAACACCGGUGGCGAAAGCGGCACCCUGGCAUUAGCCUGACGCUCAGGUGCGAAAGCGUGGGGAGCGAACGGG